AAAGAUUCCGGUUGAUCCUGCCGGAGGCUACUGCUAUCGGGGUCCGACUAAGCCAUGCGAGUUGAGAGGGGUAAGCCCUCGGCAUAUUGCUCAGUAACACGCGGAUAACCUGCCCUUGGGUUUGGGAUAACCCCGGGAAACUGGGACUAAUACCGGAUAGAUCAAAGAUACUGGAAUGUUCUUUGGUCGAAAGCUCCGGCGCCCAAGGAUGGGUCUGCGGCCUAUCAGGUAGUAGUGGGUGUAACGUACCUACUAGCCUACGACGGGUAAGGGUUGUGAGAGCAAGAGCCCUGAGAUGGAUUCUGAGACAUGAAUCCAGGCCCUACGGGGUGCAGCAGGCGCGAAAACUUUACACUGCGGGAAACCGCGAUAAGGGGACCCCGAGUGCCAGCACCUAGUGCUGGCUGUCCAGCUGUUCAAAAAACAGUUGUUAGCAAGGGCCGGGCAAGACCGGUGCCAGCCGCCGCGGUAACACCGGCGGCCCGAGUGGUAACUGUUUUUAUUGGGUUUAAAGGGUCCGUAGCCGGCUUAUUAAGUCUCUUGGGAAAUCUGGCGGCUCAAUCGUCAGGCGUCCAAGAGAUACUGGUAGGCUUGGGACCGGGAGAGGUGGGAGGUACUCCAGGGGUAGGGGUGAAAUCUCGUAAUCCUUGGGGGACCACCGAUGGCGAAGGCAUCCCACCAGAACGGGUCCGACGGUGAGGGACGAAAGCUGGGGGCACGAACCGGAUUAGAUACCCGGGUAGUCCCAGCUGUAAACGAUGCUCGCUAGGUGUCAGGUGCGGUGCGACCGCAUCUGGUGCCGCAGUGAAAACUUGAAGCGAGUCACCUGGGAAGUACGGUCGCAAGGCUGAAACUUAAAGGA
rnacentral:rRNA from 1 species